rnacentral:rRNA from 1 species
UACGUAGGGUGCAAGCGUUGUCCGGAAUUAUUGGGCGUAAAGAGCUCGUAGGCGGCUUGUCGCGUCGGCUGUGAAAACCUGGGGCUCAACCCCGGGCCUGCAGCCGAUAUGGGCAAGCUAGAAUUCGGUAGGGGAGACUGGAAUUCCUGGUGUAGCGGUGAAAUGCGCAGAUAUCAGGAGGAACACCGGUGGCGAAGGCGGGUCUCUGGGCCGAUAUUGACGCUGAGGAGCGAAAGCGUGGGGAGCGAACAGG